rnacentral:rRNA from 1 species
UACGAAGGGGGCUAGCGUUGCUCGGAAUUACUGGGCGUAAAGGGCGCGUAGGCGGAUAGUUUAGUCAGAGGUGAAAGCCCAGGGCUCAACCUUGGAAUUGCCUUUGAUACUGGCUGUCUUGAGUAUGGGAAAGGUGAGUGGAACUCCGAGUGUAGAGGUGAAAUUCGUAGAUAUUCGGAAGAACACCAGUGGCGAAGGCGACUCACUGGCCCAUUACUGACGCUGAGGCGCGAAAGCGUGGGGAGCAAACAGG